GAUGAACGCUGGCGGCGUGCCUAAUACAUGCAAGUCGAGCGAACAGACGAGGAGCUUGCUCCUCUGACGUUAGCGGCGGACGGGUGAGUAAAACGUGGAUAACCUACCUAUAAGACUGGGAUAACUUCGGGAAACCGGAGCUAAUACAGGAUAAUAUAUUGAACCGCAUGGUUCAAUAGUGAAAGACGGUUUUGCUGUCACUUAUAGAUGGAUCCGCGCCGCAUUAGCUAGUUGGUAAGGUAACGGCUUACCAAGGCAACGAUGCGUAGCCGACCUGAGAGGGUGAUCGGCCACACGGGAACUGAGACACGGUCCAGACUCCUACGGGAGGCAGCAGUAGGGAAUCUUCCGCAAUGGGCGAAAGCCUGACGGAGCAACGCCGCGUGAGUGAUGAAGGUCUUCGGAUCUUAAAACUCUGUUAUUAGGGAAGAACAAAUGUGUAAGUAACUAUGCACGUCUUGACGGUACCUAAUCAGAAAGCCACGGCUAACUACGUG
rnacentral:rRNA from 1 species